CCUCCUGCUAAAUUCAGCAAUGAGAGCAACCAGAUCCAGGCUGAAGUGCUGUUUAACUUCGUUAUCAAUGACAUCAAGAACCCCAGUGCUUUACUGAAGGAGAUCCUGAACAUUACAGGACCUGCCAAGGGCAUCACAGCCUCACUGAGCAUCAAUGGUCGGCCAGCUGCAACGGCAGCUCCCACUACAAUGGCGCCAUCUGCAGCUCCACUUAUAAG